rnacentral:rRNA from 1 species
GGGGGCAACCCCUUGAGAGUGGCGAACGGGUGAGUAAUAUAUCGGAACGUGCCCAGUCGUGGGGGAUAACGUAGUGAAAAUUACGCUAAUACCGCAUACGAUCUAAGGAUGAAAGCGGGGGAUCGCAAGACCUCGCGCGACUGGAGCGGCCGAUAUCAGAUUAGGUAGUUGGUGAGGUAAAGGCUCACCAAGCCAACGAUCUGUAGCUGGUCUGAGAGGACGACCAGCCACACUGGAACUGAGACACGGUCCAGACUCCUACGGGAGGCAGCAGUGGGGAAUUUUGGACAAUGGACGCAAGUCUGAUCCAGCCAUUCCGCGUGCAGGAUGAAGGCCCUCGGGUUGUAAACUGCUUUUGUACGGAACGAAAAGGUCUCUCCUAAUACGAGGGGCUCAUGACGGUACCGUAAGAAUAAGCACCGGCUAACUACGUGCCAGCAGCCGCGGUAAUACGUAGGGUGCAAGCGUUAAUCGGAAUUACUGGGCGUAAAGCGUGCGCAGGCGGUUAUGUAAGACAGAGGUGAAAUCCCCGGGCUCAACCUGGGAACUGCCUUUGUGACUGCAUAGCUAGAGUACGGUAGAGGGGGAUGGAAUUCCGCGUGUAGCAGUGAAAUGCGUAGAUAUGCGGAGGAACACCGAUGGCGAAGGCAAUCCCCUGGACCUGUACUGACGCUCAUGCACGAAAGCGUGGGGAGCAAACAGGAUUAGAUACCCUGGUAGUCCACGCCC